rnacentral:snRNA from 1 species
GGAUGUGAGGGCGAUCUGGCUGCGACAUCUGUCACCCCAUUGAUCGCCAGGGUUGAUUCGGCUGAUCUGGCUGGCUAGGCGGGUGUCCCCUUCCUCCCUCACCGCUCCAUGUGCGUCCCUCCCGAAGCUGCGCGCUCGGUCGAAGAGGACGACCAUCCCCGAUACAGGAGGACCGUUCUUCGGUCAAGGGUAUACGAGUAGCUGCGCUCCCCUGCUAGAACCUCCAAACAAGCUCUCAAAAGGUAAAUAUUGGGACGUCUGGGUGGCUCAGUGGUUAAGUGUCUGCCUUCGGCUUAGGGCGUGAUCCUGGAGUCCCAGGAUCAAGUCCC